rnacentral:rRNA from 1 species
UAGUCCACGCCGUAAACGAUGUCAACUAGCCGUUGGGAGCAUAUAAGCUCUGAGUGGCGCAGCUAACGCGAUAAGUUGACCGCCUGGGGAGUACGCCGGCAACGGCAAAACUCAAAGGAAUAGACGGGGGCCCGCACAAGCGGUGGAGCAUGUGGUUUAAUUCGAUGCAACGCGAAAAACCUUACCUACCCUUGACACCCUCAGAACUUGUUAGAGAUAACUUGGUGCCUUCGGGAACUGAGUGACAGGUGCUGCAUGGCUGUCGUCAGCUCGUGUCGUGAGAUGUUGGGUUAAGUCCCGCAACGAGCGCAACCCUUGUCCCUAGUUGCCAGCACGUAAUGGUGGGAACUCUAGGGAGACUGCCGGUGUAAACCGAGAGGAAGGUGUGGAUGACGUCAAAUCAGCACGGCCCGUACGUCCAGGGCUACACACGUGUUACAAUGGUCGGUACAGAGGGCAGCUACCUAGCGAUAGGAUGCCAAUCUCCAAAACCGGUCUCAGUUCGGAUCGGAGU